UUGCUGUGAUGACUAUCUUAGGACACCUUUGGAAUAACUAUGAAAGAAAACUAUUCUGAGCAAC
rnacentral:snoRNA from 10 species